UACGUAGGGUGCGAGCGUUGUCCGGAAUUACUGGGCGUAAAGAGCUCGUAGGUGGUUUGUCGCGUUGUCCGUGAAAACUCACAGCUUAACUGUGGGCGUGCGGGCGAUACGGGCAGACUGGAGUACUGCAGGGGAGACUGGAAUUCCUGGUGGAGCGGUGGAAUGCGCAGAUAUCAGGAGGAACACCGGUGGCGAAGGCGGGUCUCUGGGCAGGAACUGACGCUGAGGAGCGAAAGCGUGGGGAGCGAACAGG
rnacentral:rRNA from 1 species